rnacentral:rRNA from 1 species
UACGUAGGGGGCAAGCGUUGUCCGGAUUUAUUGGGCGUAAAGCGCGUGUAGGCGGCCCGGUAAGUCCGCUGUGAAAGUCCAGGGCUCAACCCUGGAAUGCCGGUGGAUACUGUCGGGCUCGAGUCCGGAAGAGGCGAGUGGAAUUCCUGGUGUAGCGGUGAAAUGCGCAGAUAUCAGGAAGAACACCAAUGGCGAAGGCAGCUCUCGUGGGACGGUACUGACGCUGAGACGCGAAAGCGUGGGGAGCGAACAGG